CAAACGGGUGCGGAACACGUACACAACCUUCCUUUAAGUGGGGGAUAGCCCAGAGAAAUUUGGAUUAAUACCCCGUAAGAUUAAUGAGUGGCAUCAUUUAUUAAUUAAAGUUCAGGCGCUUAGAGAUGGGUGUGCGGCUGAUUAGGUAGUUGGUGAGGGUAACGGCCCACCAAGCCUUCGAUCAGUAACUGGUGUGAGAGCACGACCAGUCACACGGGCACUGAGACACGGGCCCG
rnacentral:rRNA from 1 species